UACGUAGGUGGCAAGCGUUGUCCGGAUUUACUGGGCGUAAAGAGCGCGCAGGCGGUCGAUUUAGUCGCGUGUGAAAGCCCCCGGCUCAACUGGGGAGGGUCACGGCGAUACUGAUCGACUCGAAGGCAGGAGAGGGUAGUGGAAUUCCCGGUGUAGUGGUGAAAUGCGUAGAGAUCCGGAGGAACACCGACGGCGUAGGCAGCGCCCUGGCCGUUUUACCUGACGCUGAAGCACGAAAGCUGGGGGAGCGAACAGG
rnacentral:rRNA from 1 species